AGGACGAACGCUGGCGGCGUGCUUAACACAUGCAAGUCGAGCGGAAAGGCCCUUCGGGGUACUCGAGCGGCGAACGGGUGAGUAACACGUGAGCAACCUGCCCUUAGCUCUGGGAUAGCUCCGGGAAACCGGAAUUAAUACCGGAUGCUACGUCGGCCGACAUCGGCUGACGUGGAAAGAUUUAUCGGCUAAGGAUGGACUCGCGGCCUAUCAGCUAGUUGGUGGGGUAACGGCCUACCAAGGCGACGACGGGUA
rnacentral:rRNA from 1 species